rnacentral:misc_RNA from 1 species
GUGAAUCAUCAAAUCUUUGAACGCAAAUUGCACUCUCUGGUAUUCCGGAGAGUAUGCCUGUUUGAGGGUCAGUUAAAAUAAAAAUCGGUGCGGUUGCUGCCUUUCGUGGUGACGCACCGGACUUGGGUUGUCUUCACUUCGGUUAAGUGACCUAACAUCUUGCUUGAUUUCUUUCGAACGUAUUUCAAUGAUUUUACGUACGCUUGUGA